rnacentral:rRNA from 1 species
UGCCAGACUCCUACGGGAGGCAGCAGUGGGGAAUAUUGGGCAAUGGGCGCAAGCCUGACCCAGCAACGCCGCGUGAAGGAAGAAGGAUUUCGGGUUGUAAACUUCUUUUAAGAGGGAAGAGCAGAAGACGGUACCUCUUGAAUAAGCUCCGGCUAACUACGUGCCAGCAGCCGCGGCAAUACGUAGGGAGCGAGCGUUGUCCGGAUUUGCUGGGUGUAAAGGGCGUGCAGCCGGGAGUACAAGUCAGAUGUGAAAUCCCGCGGCUCAACCGCGGAACUGCACCUGAAACUGUAUUUCUUGAGUACUGGAGAGGCAGACGGAAUUCCUAGUGUAGCGGUGAAAUGCGUAGAUAUUAGGAGGAACGCCAGUGGCGAAGGCGGUCUGCUGGACAGCAACUGACGGUGAGGCGCGAAAGCGUGGGGAGCAAACAGGAUUAGAUACCCCCGUAA